CAAGAGCCAGCCAGCCCACAGCCAGUCAAGCGUACUUCAAUUCGGACAGAGCCACUGUCUCAAGACUCUGCCCUUCUUCAAGAGAAGAGCCCAGAAGAAGAGAGAAUGACUGCUAGGCCCUUGAUGGCUGGAUUCAGGCCAUGUAAGGCGCGCCUGCUUCCCCUUCACCUUCCAUCAUGAUUGUAAGUUUCCUGAGGCCUCCCCAGGUGUGCUUCCUGUGCAGCCUGUGAAAUGGUGA